rnacentral:tRNA from 1 species
GGGGGUAUGGCUCAGUGGUAGAGCACGUGCUUAACAUGCACAAGGUCCUGGGUUCAAUCCCCAGUACCUCCA